GAGCACUCAACAGCCUAUCCGAAACUAUGAAUCUUUCAACUUUGCAGAACAUGCAGCUAUACGAACUUUUCAUCAAAAAAGUUUCUAGCACUUGAGUUGAACCGCUGGUGCUUUCUUUCAGUUCCUUGCAUGGUCACUGAAGAGGAGCAAAGCAGUGAACAAGAGCAAAACUGUCGUCGGAGUCGUAGGGAAGGGGCACAUGAAUGGCAUCGUGUACGCGUUGAUAUCUGAUCAAGGGGACUUGAAGUUCCGCGACCUUGUCGGUAGAGAAUCAUCUGAUACAUGGGUUACCUCACUCAUCAAGGGCCUGGUCAGGGACACCAUAAUAGGAUUGGUUCUCUGGGCUUUGUAUGAACAGCUGCAGGCUGUGCUAUAGACAUUUCACACUUUCACAUUUCACACAGAAUCACCUAGCUCAACCAGCAGGAAUUGGAAACUACAACAGUACUGAAUAUUUUUUUUAAGUGCAAUGCAGCAAUACAUAACUUUUCUUUACUGUCAGUAUUGUGGCAAUGCUUCAGAUUGAUUGGGACAUGCCGCUCGCCCUCGACAAUGGGGAGUUCACUGGGGAUUGUAAAUUUGUAAUGGCGAACGGUGGAGCUGAAGUUCUUGCGAAGAGGGAUCGUUGGCGGCGGGCUCGGCGGUGGCCGGUGCUGAGCCGGCGAGGUCGAUGGUGGCGGAGCCACGCGGGGGAGCUGCCGCAGAUCUGCUGCAGUGGGCGGAAGAGCGCCGCCCGGCACAACCACGAGUGGCUGCUGCGUAGUUCAGGGGGGGCAGGAGGCAUUUAGGGGGAGCUGGUCGCCGUGGAACGGUGGUGGUGGAGGCCGCGGGCCACGGCACAGCGAGCGUCGGGGAAGAAGAUGACGGAGUCAAAGCCGGCGGAGAGUUUUUCCAAAACGCACCCUGGUUUGGAUCGCGAUUAAUAGUCGCGAUCCAAAACAGGGGGUAAUCCGGCGUUGGCCGGGCUGGUCGAGUCCGGCGCGCUCGUGCGCCUCCCGCGGCGGCGGUUCGGCCCGGUCUCGGCGUGGCGCCCUCCGGACUUCGUGGAGCCCGAGGAGGUCUGGAUCCUCGCACCUCUCCCCGGAGUCUGUCGCCGACGUCGAGCGCUUCCUCCGCGCCGUCCAGCUCGACGACGACAAGAACUUGGUACACUUGACACGCUCAAUCAAGGAUGGCGGCCAUUUCUUGUUAUUGAGCUAAUUGAUGCAGUUUCAGAGUCCUCGCUGCAACUAUCACUGAUCAUCGGCCAUGGAGCUAAUGAGACCUUCUAAUCUUGUUGAUCUCUCGAUCUGGAUGCUGCAGGUGGACAGUGCAGCUCCUCGCUGUUUUUUCUUCAAAAAUUUCUUCAGGAGCGAACCGGCCAUUCGGAGAGGAGGUGAGUCCUCAUGGCGUUGUAGCCUGUAAAUUUUGUUCAGAGGGUACAUGAAAAAAACACAAAACAUGAACCGGUUUCGCCGAGUCGUUGACACCUUGGAGCUGCGUGACAUACACUUACAUGGGCGUACAUACACUUGGAGCAACGAACGAUCUAACCCGACGAUGGUCAAACUUGAUCGCGUGCUCGUCUCGGUGGACUGGGAGGAGCUCUACCCCCAUUGUUUCCUCCAGGCUCUAUCCUACGAGGAUUCUGAUCACUGCCCUCUGCUUCUGCAAAGCAAUGCGGCAAUCAAAACAAAACCAAGGUUCCACUUCGAAAUCUUUUGGCCCAAGUUUGAUGACUUCCUGGAAUCGGUGGCGGCGGGUUGGCACUGCCCGGAUGAUGGGGCGUUCAGGCGCCUUGACUGUCUCAUCCGGAAUGUGUCCAGGGAGUUGCAAAGUUGGUCUGCCAAGAAAAUUGGCUCGGCCAAGUUCCAGCUCCUGCUGGCCAAAGAACUUGUUCUGCGCCUAGAUCGUGCCCAAGAAACAAGGAGGUUAUCUGAGGCUGAGAGCGAUCUGCGCAAGCAGCUCAAGCGGCUAACUCUGGGACUCGCCUCUCUUGAGCGAACCAUCGCACGGCAGCGCUCGAGAAUUCUAUACCUCAGCGAGGGAGACGCGAACACUCGUUUCUUCCACCUUCUUGCCAAUGGGCUCCGGCGCAAGAAUCACAUUGCGCGGAUUUGUGCUGAUGAUGGGGUGGUGUUCACAACACAAGCAAUGGCGCAGGUCUUCUUUGAACACUUCGACACGCUGCUAGGCUCAGAUUGGACAAGACCGUGCACGCUAAACAUGGACUGUUUGGGAAUAUCUCCUCGAGAUCUGUCUGCUUUGGAAACUCCGUUCUCGGAGGAGGAGACCUGGCAAGUAAUCAAGGAGCUCCCACCGGAUGAGUCACCAGGGCCGGAUGGUACGACGGCAGCAUUCUAUCAGGCAGCAUGGCCGGUGAUCAAACAUGAUGUGCUCAUGGCGGUCAAUGCCUUCUUCGCGGUGGACCAGCGUGGUUUCGCCUGUGUUAACGUGCUCUCCUGACGCUCAUCCCCAAGAAGAUCAACGCGCGGCUACCUAGGGAUUACCGGCUGAUCAGCCUGAUUCAUAGUUUCCCAAAAUUGUGUCCAAACUCCUGGCGAACCAUCUCAACAGGUUCAUCGGAGACCUUGUCCUUUGCAACUAGAGCGCCUUCAUUCGUGGUCGCUCUAUCCUUAACAACUUCAAAUAUGUGCAACGAUCGGCGGUGAUGCUCAAGAAAUAUAAGGUGCCGAAACUGCUGCUCAAGCUGGACAUCUCGAAGGCCUUUGACACUGUCUCUUGGUAAUUCUUGUUAGAAGUGUUACAAGCUUAGGGUUUCGGCGCACGGUGGCGCGACUGGAUCUCUAUCCUAUUGUCCACGGCGUCCACGAGAGUACUGGCAGUCGGGUCAGCCGAUUGAGCACCGCUGCGGCCUACGGCAUGGCGAUCCAUUAUCGCUAAUGCUGUUCAUCAUCGUUAUAGACGUGUUGAAUCGACUCUUCUGCAAGACGGCCGAAGAUGGGGUGCUGCAACCGAUGGGUCUGCCUGCUAUCAGGCACCACUGCAGCCUUUAUGCGGAUGAUGCUAUUUUGCUAGUGGCACUAAUUGCAGCGGAAGCCAGGGCGGUGAAGCAUAUCAUGCAGAUCUUCACUGAUGCGUUCGGGUUGCAGAGAUCAAUUUGGAUAAAUGCUCGGUCACACCUAUAUUUGGCAACGAAGAAGGGUUGCAGGAGUUUCUGUUGGUGCUGUCCUAUCUAGUUCAAUAAUUUCCAAUCAAGUACUUGGGGCGCCAUUGUCAAGCAAGGCCCUGCCUAAAUCCCAAUUUAGGACACUGAUCGAAAAGACCGCGGCUAAGUUGCCGACAUGGCAGGGUCUGCUUCUGGCCAAAAGCGGCCGCCUAACCUUGGUCAAAUCGACGCUAUCAGCCAUGCCAAUCUACUUGAUGAUGUUUGACAAGCUGCCGCCGUGGGUCAUCAAAGAACUUGACAGUAUUCGACGAAACUUCCUAGGGAAAGGAAAUGAUACUGCUGUUUGUGGGAAAAACGUUGUGGCAUGGCCUACUGUUUGUCGUCCGACAAAUUGGGGGUGGUUUGGGUGUCAUCGACCUCAAGUUGUCCCUGGAUUUGCCCUCCAGGCGCACUGGCUAUGGCUGCAGAAGACACACACUACAAGAGCUUGGUCUGCGUUGCAAAUCAAUGUCGAACCUGAAGUGCGGGCCUUCUUUGACGCAUCGGUCAUGGUUCGAGUUGGCAAUGGACAGCGUGCCUUAUUCUGGAACGAUUGUUGGAUAGAUGGCGUCUCUGUUGCCAAGCUUGCUCCGAACCUGUUCGCCACAAUUCCUAUAAGAGCCACCAAGAUCAGAACAAUGGAGCAAGGAUUGACUGAUCGGCGCUGGAUUCGAGACAUCAUGGAGGAUUGUCUACUCAGGCGCUCGUUGAAUACGUUGACCUCUGGCAUCACCUCUUGGAGGAGCAGCUGUCGGAAGAUAAGGAGGAUGUAUUCCUCUGGACGUGGACUGCUGAUGGAAACUACACAGUAGCAUCAGCCUGCAAGAAGAUGCAGGAGGGUGGCGUCAAGCUACAGGGCAGCAGCCGCAUUUGGAAGAGUUGGGCAUCGCCAAAGAUCAAAUUCUUUGCAUGGCUGGCAACCAAAGGACGCCUCUGGACAGCUGGCAGACGACGGCGCUAUAACCUGGAGGCUCACACAUCCUGUUGGAUUUGCGACCAGGAGCCGAAAACUGCUGAUCACAUCCUUGUUAACUGCUCCUACGCGAAGCAGACCUGGUGGGGAGCUUUGACUUGGUUGGGGUGCGUCUGCACAUUCCAAGCUGCUAAUUGCUCCCUGCAAGACUGGUGGGCACAUGUUAGAGCAUCGCAACCAAGGGAGAAGAGAAGAGGAAUUGAUACACUCUUCAUGCUAAUCAUCUGGAGCUUGUGGAAGGAACCUAAUGCGCAUCUCAUCGACAGCCGUGAAGCCACGGUGCAGGAGCUGCUGAGCGCAAUCAGACGUGAAGCACUACUAUGGAUCGAGGCAGGAGCAACUAAGUUGGGUGAACUCAGUAGAGAGUAAUAGGGUUCUAAUACAAGGUCGUCGGUUUUUCUUAGUGCACUUAGCAGUGCUUAAUGCUUAUGGCGUGAGGGUCAUGCUCCGUGUCAUUGUAAACAACUUUCUCGAAUUUCUUUCUAUCUUAAUAUAAUGAUACGCAGCUCUCUUGCGUAUUCGAGAGAAAAAAAACACAAAAGCUAAAUUCCGCUGCUGCAUUUUCUGUUAGUUUCGAGCAGCUAGGAGAGUGUCUGAAGAUCUUGGUGCUCAGCUUGUUCUUGGGGAUCGCCCAAUUGAAAUAACUGUAUGUGGAUUGCUAUCUGUACAGUGAUUUUCCCCCCAAUGCUAUCUGUACACUGAUGUUGGAUUGCUAGCUCUGCAAAAAUAUGGUUGCUUGAAUUGCUGAAGCUUAUAUCAGAUUGUUCCUGUAGCUUGAACGAGCAUGGAAAUCCCUCAGCUGGGAUCAAAAAACAAAUAUAGUAAUCUCAUUGUUCCGUGGAAUUACUUCAACAACUGAGACGCCGGUAAGUACUUGCCUUCAUUUUCAAUCUUGUUUGCCUAAAAGAAACUGUUUUCAGUAUUGUUUGCACAACUGCACAAGUUCAGUACAAGAGGAUGCGAGUACGAUGCAUAAUGUACCAUGAACCAAAUGUUGAGGAAUCCAUCAGCUAUUACUGCCAUCGUCUGUUGACAUUCUUAUUUGAUUAUUACUACUCUAGCAGGAUGGGAAAAUUGCUGUCAGUCCAUACGAGCUGUAUGAGAAACUGAGCACAUCGUAUCCCUCACUGCUGCAACAACCUCUCAAGUCUCAUACAUGAACGCGACAUGGUAUGAGUAUAUUCUCAACAGCCUGUCUGAACCUAUGAAUCUUCAAAUUUUGCAGAGCAUGCAACUACAUAUGAACUUGUUAGUUGCAGCAAGCUUUGCAUGAUACUUCUACCCUAAGUUUCUAGCAGUUUUUUUUUCUUUCAAAAGGUUUCUAGCACUUGACUCGAUCGAACCACUGGUGCUUUUUCUUUCAGUUCCUUGCAUGUGGUUAGUAAAGAGGAGCAAAGCAGUGACACAAGAGCAAAACUGUCCUCGGAAUCGUAGGGAAGGGACACACGAAUGGCACCAUUGAUAUCUGAUCAGGGGGACUUGAGGUUCCGCGACCUUGUCGGUAGAGGAUCAUCUGAUACUCAUCAAGGACCUGGUCAGGGACACCAUAAUAGGAUUGGUUCUCUGGGCUUUGUAUGAACAGCUGCAGGCUGUGCUAUAGAUAGUUCACACUUUCACAUUUCACACGAAAUCACCCAGCUGAACCUCGGUACCGAAAGGAAUUCGAAGCUACAGCAGUAUUCAAUGGUAAAUGUAAAUUACAUUGUACUAUAAUCCAGACAAACCCUGUAUUCCUGUACUCG
rnacentral:lncRNA from 1 species